GCUAGGGAGUGGGAGAGGUAGACGGUACUCGGUAGGAAGGGGUAAAAUCCUUUGAUCUAUUGAUGACCACCUGUGGCGAAGGCGGUCUACCAGAACACGUCCGACGGUGAGGGAUGAAAGCUGGGGGAGCAAACCGGAUUAGAUACCCGGGUAGUCCCAGCUGUAAACUAUGCAAACUCAGUGAUGCAUUGGCUUGUGGCCAAUGCAGUGCUGCAGGGAAGCCGUUAAGUUUGCCGCCUGGGAAGUACGUACGCAAGUAUGAAACUUAAAGGAAUUGGCGGGGGAGCACCACAAGGGGUGAAGCCUGCGGUUCAAUUGGAGUCAACGCCAGAAAUCUUACCCGGAGAGACAGCAGAAUGAAGGUCAAGCUGAAGACUUUACCAGACAAGCUGAGAGGUGGUGCAUGGCCGUCGCCAGCUCGUGCCGUGAGAUGUCCUGUUAAGUCAGGUAACGAGCGAGAUCCCUGCCUCUAGUUGCCACCACUACUCUCAGGAGUAGUGGGGCGAAUUAGCGGGACCGCCGUAGUUAAUACGGAGGAAGGAAGGGGCCACGGCAGGUAAUCCUCAAACGUUACCACAGUUAUGACUGAGGGCUGCAACUCGCCCUCACGAAUAUGGAAUCCCUAGUAACUGCGUGUCAUUAUCGCGCGGUGAAUACGUCCCUGCUCCUUGCACACACCGCCCGUCGUUUCAUUGAAGUUUGCUUUUAGCGAGGUGACGUCUGAUUGGCGUUAUCGAACUUGAGGUAAGUGACAAGGGAAAAGUCGUAACAAGGUGACCGUAGGGGAACCUGCGGUCGGAUCACCUCCUUAG
rnacentral:rRNA from 1 species